GACGAACGCUGGCGGCGUGCUUAACACAUGCAAGUCGAACGGAAAGGCCCUGCUUUUGUGGGGUGCUCGAGUGGCGAACGGGUGAGUAACACGUGAGUAACCUGCCCUUGACUUUGGGAUAACUUCAGGAAACUGGGGGUAAUACCGGAUAGGAGCUCCUGCUGCAUGGUGGGGGUUGGAAAGUUUCGGCGGUUGGGGAUGGACUCGCGGCUUAUCAGCUUGUUGGUGGGGUAGUGGCUUACCAAGGCUUUGACGGGUAGCCGGCCUGAGAGGGUGACCGGCCACAUUGGGACUGAGAUACGGCCCAGACUCCUACGGGAGGCAGCAGUAGGGAAUAUUGCACAAUGGGCGGAAGCCUGAUGCAGCAACGCCGCGUGCGGGAUGACGGCCUUCGGGUUGUAAACCGCUUUCGCCUGUGACGAAGCGUGAGUGACGGUAAUGGGUAAAGAAGCACCGGCUAACUACGUG
rnacentral:rRNA from 1 species